rnacentral:lncRNA from 1 species
UUUUUCACAUAUGGGAUAGUUUAAUUAAAUACAGUCGUAAAUAUGAUGUAGUUAAAGAUGUAUAUAGUUGACAAUACAGUAGUUAUAAUUAUAUGUAUAUUAUUUCGCUGGAUGUAAUGAAAAGCGUUUAAACUAUAAAUAAUUGUUAUGUAAAAUGUUGUUAGAGAGAUCAACUUACUUUUUAUUUAAAGUUAUAGUUUCAGAUGUUGUAGUCAGACUUCCUCAUGUAAUUUUAAAUAUAAUAAUGGCAAAAUUCAAAUGUAUUAAAUUAGAUACUGGAUUUGAAUUCACAUAUAAUUAUAAUUGUAUUCAGCUGUAACUUUUUACAAUCUAAAAGUUUGUUAUAUGCUAAUGGGAGUUGAGCUGGAAUACUAUCGGUAGCAAACGAGCUCCGUUGCCACCCAUUUGUUUUCGAUGAUGGAGCCUCCAAAUCGACGAUCGGCACCGUCGAAAAUGAUCUAUACCACUUGAAGUAUCUAGAAAUCAAAUUUCAUACUUUUCCGAUAUUGUUCUCUUAUCCAUCAAGUGGGCGUAAAAAUGAAUGACUGAAAAUAAAUAUCCUCUAAAAAGUGAUGAUAAGAAUUUGUAAUCAUGAUCGAGAGUAUAGAUCUUUUUCUAAAUAGUUUAAAGAAUUUUCUAAGCAAAAUUCAAUUGAUUUGGAUAGUUUUACACCGUUAAACGAGAAAACGCCUUAUAUCUACUAUUAAAAUUACAAAUUUUAAAAUCCUUUGAUCAUUAGGUCAAUGAUAUCGAAAAGAUUUGAAAUUUGAUUUCUAGAUACUUCAAGUGAUAUAUAUUAUAUUCAAUGGUGCCGAUCGUCAAUUUAAAUGGAUGGCAACAGAACCCGUUUGCUAUCGAUAGCAUUCCAGUUCAACUCAUGCUAAUGGCUAGUUAUUAAUUAAGGUACCAAC